GGUGGUCCUGCCCUUCCGCAGGGAGAGCCUGGCUGAGGAGCACGAGGGGCUCGUGGGUGAGGGGCAGAGGUCCAGCUUCCUGCCCAGCUACAUCAUCGAUGUGCGGGCCCUAGACGAGAAGCUGCUCAACAUCAUCGACCUGCAGUUCCUGCAUGGCUACUACGAGCCUACCCUCCUCAUCCUGUUUGAGCCCAACCAGACCUGGCCUGGGCGCGUGGCCGUGCGGCAGGACACGUGCUCCAUUGUGGCCAUCUCACUGAACAUCACGCAGAAGGUGCACCCCGUCAUCUGGUCCCUCACCAGCCUGCCCUUUGACUGCACCCAGGCUCUGGCUGUGCCCAAGCCCAUAGGUGUGUGUCCUGGGAGUGGAUAGGGGAGUGUGUGGAGACAGCACUGAGCCUGCCCACCAGCCUGUGUCCACCUCCAGGUGGGGUGGUGGUGUUUGCCGUCAACUCGCUGUUGUACCUGAACCAGAGCGUCCCCCCGUACGGCGUGGCUCUCAACAGCCUCACCACAGGAACCACGGCUUUCCCACUUCGUGAGUGUGAGGUGGCUGGGGGGGGCCGGGGACGGCUUGGGCCUGCCUAGUCGGCCUGACCACCCACCCCACAGGCACCCAGGAGGGUGUGCGGAUCACCCUGGACUGCGCCCAGGCCACCUUCAUCUCCUACGACAAGAUGGUCAUCUCCCUCAAGGGCGGCGAGAUCUACGUGCUGACCCUCAUCACCGACGGCAUGCGCAGUGUCCGAGCGUUCCACUUUGACAAGGCGGCCGC
rnacentral:sRNA from 1 species